rnacentral:rRNA from 1 species
GUGCCGUAGGGAAGCCGUGAAGCGAGCCACCUGGGAAGUACGGCCGCAAGGCUGAAACUUAAAGGAAUUGGCGGGGGAGCACCACAACGGGUGGAGCUUGCGGUUUAAUUGGAUUCAACGCCGGAAAUCUUACCGGGACCGACAGCAAUAUGAAGGCCAGGCUGAAGACUUUGCCGGAUUAGCUGAGAGGUGGUGCAUGGCCGUCGUCAGUUCGUACUGUGAAGCAUCCUGUUAAGUCAGGCAACGAGCGAGAC